rnacentral:rRNA from 1 species
AAUCAACGCUGGCGGCGUGCCUAACACAUGCAAGUCGCGCGCGAAAGGGGGGCAACUCCCGAGUAAAGCGGCGAACGGGUGAGUAACACGUGGGUAAUCUACCUUCGAGUGGGGAACAACACCGGGAAACUGGUGCUAAUUCCGCAUGACAUCGUCGGGGCUUCGGUUCUGACGCUCAAAGCUGGGGAUCGCAAGACCUAGCGCUUGAAGAUGAGCCCGCGUCCGAUUAGCUAGNGGGCGGGGUAAGUGGCCCACCAAGGCUUCGAUCGGUAGCCGGCCUGAGAGGGCGGGACGGCCACACUGGAACUGAGACACGGUCCAGACUCCUACGGGAGGCAGCAGUGGGGAAUUUUUCGCAAUGGGGGC